rnacentral:rRNA from 1 species
UACGGGGGGGGCAAGCGUUGUUCGGAAUUACUGGGCGUAAAGGGCGCGUAGGCGGGAUGGUAAGUCGGUCGUGAAAUCCCUCGGCUCAACUGAGGAGCGUCGAUCGAAACUGCCGUUCUUGAGGGUUGCAGAGGAGACUGGAAUUCCCGGUGUAGCGGUGAAAUGUGUAGAGAUCGGGAGGAACACCGGUGGCGAAGGCGGGUCUCUGGGCAACUCCUGACGCUGAGGCGCGAAAGCGUGGGGAGCAAACGGG